AGUGAACGCUGGCGGUAGGCCUAACACAUGCAAGUCGAACGGCAGCACAGUAAGAGCUUGCUCUUACGGGUGGCGCGUGGCGGACGGGUGAGGAAUACAUCGGAAUCUACUUUUUCGUGGGGGAUAACGUAGGGAAACUUACGCUAAUACCGCAUACGACCUACGGGUGAAAGCAGGGGAUCUUCGGACCUUGCGCGAGUGAAUGAGCCGAUGUUGGAUUAGCUAGUUGGCGGGGUAAAGGCCAACCAAGGCGACGAUCCGUAGCUGGUCUGAGAGGGUGAUCAGCCACCCUGGAACUGAGACACGGCCCAGACUCCUACGGGAGGCAGCAGUGGGGAAUAUUGGGCGAUGGGCGCAAGCCUGAUCCAGCCAUACCGCGUGGGUGAAGAAGGCCUUCGGGUUGUAGAGCCCUUUUGUUGGGAAAGAAAAGCAGCAGGUUUAUACCCCGCUGUUCUGACGGUACCCAAAGAAUAAGCACCGGCUAACUUCGUG
rnacentral:rRNA from 1 species